CUGAUGUUGGCCGAUCCAUCUGGGCUCAGCUGGGAGGCUGGCUCUAAGGGACCCCUCGGGUGUGGGUCUGCUCCACACAUUGCUCGUCCCUCCUGGACCAGCAGCCUGGCUGGAACAUGUGGUUCAUCACUGUGAUGGCACAGACACAGGAGGACAAGCAGAAAGCCUCGCCACCUCUGCAGGAUCGAGUGAGAGUCAAACGGGACAGCAGCCAAUCUGAUCAGAUGUGGGCUUACAACCGACUCCCAGCACCAGCAGGAUCGCACUCAGUACACCCUGCCCAGUAAAGGAGCUCCCGGAGGUCCGGCUGACCAGCACCACCCGGUGGCCACGUCCUGUCAGCCUGCUCCAUGCUGCACAGACCUCAGCCCGGGCGUCUGCUCUGGGCCCAGGGCCUCUCCCGCGCUGUGGGCCUGACCGCACAUGGGCCUCUACUGCUCAUAUUUUCUGGAAGAGAAGACUGGACCAAGAGGUUAGCGGCUUGCCUGUAGCCACAGCUCCUAAAGGAUGGAGUGGAAUUUGAGCCCGGGGGUCCCUGGCUUGAGAUUGCCCUUCUAUUGACUCCCCUUCACAGGAACCCCAGACACACGCACACACACACCAUGCUGGCUGCUUCUCCAAGGCGUUCCUCUGCUAGAAUGCCCUUCAAAGUUUAGUGCAGAUGGGCCACCUCCUCCAGGAAGCCUUCCCUGACUUCCUAUCCUCCACCCAUCUGCUUGGGUAGAUGCCUUCUCUCUGGCUGAAGCCUUCCAAUCACAGGCACCCUGCCAUUGGCUCAUUCGACACAUUCUGCACAGAACCCUGUGCCUGCCCAGGUCCUCUCUCCACCUCCGGCACGCAGUAGGACCGGCACUUUGCUGCCAACUCUGAUUUGUCCCGGUCUGAACAACGUCCAUCACCGAGCGGCUAUGAGUAAGCCUUUGGUACCUUCCGCCAAGAUCUUUUCAUUAGCCCUGUGUUUGUUUGGGCUGUUUUUGCCCUUUUAAAGUAAAAAUAGUUUAUUUUUAACAUUU